rnacentral:rRNA from 1 species
GACGAACGCUGGCGGCGUGCUUAACACAUGCAAGUCGAACGGAAAGGCCCUGCUUUUGUGGGGUGCUCGAGUGGCGAACGGGUGAGUAACACGUGAGUAACCUGCCCUUGCCUUUGGGAUAACUUCAGGAAACUGGGGCUAAUACCGGAUAGGAGCUCCUGCUGCAUGGUGGGGGUUGGAAAGUUUCGGCGGUUGGGGAUGGACUCGCGGCUUAUCAGCUUGUUGGUGGGGUAGUGGCUUACCAAGGCUUUGACGGGUAGCCGGCCUGAGAGGGUGACCGGCCACAUUGGGACUGAGAUACGGCCCAGACUCCUACGGGAGGCAGCAGUGGGGAAUAGUGCACAAUGGGCGGAAGCCUGAUGCAGCAACGCCGCGUGCGGGAUGACGGCCUUCGGGUUGUAAACCGCUUUCGCCUGUGACGAAGCGUGAGUGACGGUAAUGGGUAAAGAAGCACCGGCUAACUACGUG